CUUCACUGAGCCGAGCCAGAGCGGUCCCGCCGUCCGUUCGCUGCCAUAGGUCGCUAGCAGGGCUUCGGCCUC
rnacentral:antisense_RNA from 1 species